CAGACAAAAGCCUGGGCAACGGCUCUCUGAAAAGGAUUCCAACAACAUGGGGAAUCAUCCCAAGAGCUGACAUGGAAUUAUAUGAAAUUUUAAAGCUUGUGAAGAGCAAAGGAAAUAAUCAGCAGUGAAGAGACAGCAACCAGGAUGGGAGAAAAUCUUGACCAACGCCACACCUGGCAGGAACCACAACACUCACUGGCAGAGGACAUUUAUCAUCUACAGGGCCUGGGCUCAAACCCCAGCCAAAAUAACAAUCAUCACCCAAGCUCUGAAAAGGGAGAGUGUAAAACUCCUAGAGAAGAAGAGGGGAAAGCAUCACGGCAUUAGUGGAUGUGGUCUCGUAGGCAGGACCCCAAAACACAGACAACAGGAACAGUUGUGACUACAGCAAACACAGACAACAGGAACAGUUGUGACUACAGCAAACUAAAAGGCUGCUGUUCAGCAAGUAAACAGCCACCAGAGUGAGAGUCAGCCUGCAAGAGGAGGAAGCCUUUUCAAGUUCAUUGGUGAAGUGUUAACCUACAAAACAAACAGUUCCAAUAAAUUAAUAAAUUUGAAAAUGAGUAACCUGAUUUUAAAGAUGACAAAGAAACAUUUCUCCAAAGGAAAUAAAUAAAGUGGCCAACAAGCAUGUGGGGAAAAAAAUGGCUAGCAUCACUGAUCUUUUGUGAAAUGCAAAUCAAAACCACAAAGAGAUAUUGCCUUCCUUCGGCUUUCAGGAUGCUACCAUCAAAGGGGGAGAAAGGACCUCACAAUGUAACCCUGGCUGGCCUGAAAUCUGCUAUAUACACGGGACUGUCCU
rnacentral:lncRNA from 1 species